CUGUAUUCAUUAAACACUAACUCCCCUUAUUCCCUGUACCCAUUUCUUGGCAACCAACAUUGCACUUUUUGUUUCUCUGAAUAUGAUUACUCUAUGUACCACAUAUAAGCAGAAUUUUAUAUAUUUGCCCUUUUGUGACUGCUUUUUCACUUAGUAUAAUGUCCUCAAGUUUCAACCAUGUUGUAACAUGUGUCCACAUUUCCUAUCUUUACAAGGCUGAAUAAUCUUUCAUCAUAUGGAAAUAGAGAGACACAUUUUGAGUACCCAUUCAUCCAUCAACAGACAUCUGAGUUACUUCCACCUUUUUGGCUAUUAUGAAUAAUGCUGCUAUGCAGAUGGGUGUACAAAUAUCUGUUUGAAUCCCUGCUUUCACUUUUUUUUUAGUAUGCUUAGAAGUGAAGCUACUGGAUUAGGUGAUAAUCUUAUGAUUAAUUUUUUGAGAAAUCAUCAUACCAUUCUCCAUAGUGGCUGCACUAUUUUAUCUUCCCACCACCAUCCUGCAUCCUGAUGAAUGUAUGUUACUAUCUGGGUUUUGUUUUUUUUUUGUUUUUUAUAAUACUCAUCCUAACAAAUGUGAAUUGGCAUCUCAUUGUGAUUUGUGUUUCCAUUUCCCUAAUUAUCAGUGAUGUUAAGCAUUUGUGUGUGGAGUGGGUGGCUAUUGAGGAUAGAACUCAGGGACUCAGGCAUGCUAAACCUAUGCUUGACACUGAGCUAGACCUCCAGUCCUUUAAGCAUUUCUUCAUGUACAUAUUGACCAUUUCUGCAUCUUUUUUGGAGAAAUAUUUGUUCUAAUAAUUUGUCCAUUUUUAAAUUGGGUUUUUGGAGUUUUUUGUUUUUGUUGUUGAGUCAUCUUUUUAUUAUGUAAUUGUAAGCAUUCUUUAUGUAUUCUAGAUGCCAGUAUCUUGUCAGUUAUUUGAUUUGCAAAAAAAAUUUCUUCUAUUUU
rnacentral:lncRNA from 1 species